rnacentral:rRNA from 1 species
GCGCAGGCGGUCCUUUAAGUCUGAUGUGAAAGCCCACGGCUCAACCGUGGAAGGUCAUUGGAAACUGGGGGACUUGAGUGCAGGAGAGGAAAGUGGAAUUCCACGUGUAGCGGUGAAAUGCGUAAAGAUGUGGAGGAACACCAGUGGCGAAGGCGACUUUCUGGCCUGUAACUGACGCUGAGGCGCGAAAGCGUUGGGAGCAAACAGGAUUAGAUACCCCUGGUAGUCCACGCCGUAAACGAUGAGUGCUAAGUGUUAGGGGGUUUCCGCCCCUUAGUGCUGCAGCUAACGCAUUAAGCACUCCGCCUGGGGAGUACGGCCGCAAGGCUGAAACUCAAAGGAAUUGACGGGGGCCCGCACAAGCGGUGGAGCAUGUGGUUUAAUUCGAAGCAACGCGAAGAACCCUACCAGGUCUUGACAUCCCGCUGCCCGGCGUAGAGAUACGCCUUUCCCUUCGGGGACAGCGGUGACAGGUGGUGCAUGGUUGUCGUCAGCUCGUGUCGUGAGAUGUUGGGUUAAGUCCCGCAACGAGCGCAACCCUUGAUCUUAGUUGCCAGCAUUCAGUUGGGCACUCUAAGGUGACUGCCGGUGACAAACCGGAGGAAGGUGGGGAUGACGUCAAAUCAUCAUGCCCCUUAUGACCUGGGCUACACACGUGCUACAAUGGACGGUACAAAGGGUUGCCAACCCGCGAGGGGGAGCCAAUCCCAGAAAACCGUUCUCAGUUCGGAUUGCAGGCUGCAACUCGCCUGCAUGAAGCCGGAAUCGCUAGU